AACAAACACACGCACAAGGGAUGUGAUAGGAGAAGGGCAUCCCCCCAAGAGUCCCCAGGCAUGGUGCUACCGGAACCUGCUGCCUUGGCAUGGAAAGGUGUCAGGAAGUGACAGGCAGAGCCCACCAUGGGCAUCUUAGUAUCAGCUUCUCAGAUGUGCCCCCAGGACCCCUGAGGUAUCACAGCUGGCCAAAUGCCAUGGUCCAGUCUGGACAGCAUCACCACAGCAUGAAGUCAGAGCCCUUUCCUUUCCACUCUGGCUGCAACAACAAAGGAACUCACCUAAAAGCAGCUGAGCAAACACACGCAGCAUCUGUGAGCAUCUCGACCCACUGCUCAGCCAGCGCGCAGUGAGACGCCUGGAACACGGUUCGGUGGAGAUGGCAUGGCAGAGUAGAAGAAUCUUGACAAUGAACUUGAGGUCCAAUCUCAGCUCUGCCUUUCGCUCUCUUGGCCUCAAGCAGAUGGGAUCCUCUCUUUUGGUUUCUGCUGCCCAGAAAGGAGGCCAGUACAAGGAGGAUCCAAUAAGACAAUGUGCCCCAGACUGGUGGCUUGAAAAUGGCACCAAGCUAAUUCACCACAACCCCACGAAGGACAGAAAUUGAAAUCAUAAACACAGAAAGUGAUUAGCUAUCCAUCUGAACUGACG
ensembl:lncRNA